GCCCAGGUGGUGGAAUUGGUAGACACAAAGGACUUAAAAUCCUUCGGCUUAAAAAAAGCUUUACGAGUUCAAGUCUCGUCCUGGGUA
rnacentral:tRNA from 1 species